CAGCUCCAAUAGCGUAUAUUAAAGUUGUUGCAGUUAAAAAGCUCGUAGUUGAACCUUGGGUCUGGCUGGCCGGUCCGCCUCACCGCGAGUACUGGUCCGGCUGGACCUUUCCUUCUGGGGAAUCUCAUGGCCUUCACUGGCUGUGGGGGGAACCAGGACUUUUACUGUGAAAAAAUUAGAGUGUUCAAAGCAGGCCUUUGCUCGAAUACAUUAGCAUGGAAUAAUAGAAUAGGACGUGCGGUUCUAUUUUGUUGGUUUCUAGGACCGCCGUAAUGAUUAAUAGGGAUAGUCGGGGGCGUCAGUAUUCAGCUGCCAGAGGUGAAAUUCUUGGAUUUGCUGAAGACUAACUACUGCGAAAGCAUUCGCCAAGGAUGUCUUCAUUAAUCAGGGAACGAAAGGUAAGGGGAUCGAAGACGAUCAGAUACCGUCGUAGUACUUAACCAUAAACUAUGCCGACUAGGGAUCGGACGGUGUUUCUAUUAUGACCCGUUCGG
rnacentral:rRNA from 1 species